rnacentral:rRNA from 1 species
GAUGAACGCUAGCUACAGGCUUAACACAUGCAAGUCGAGGGGCAGCAUGAACUUAGCUUGCUAAGUUUGAUGGCGACCGGCGCACGGGUGAGUAACACGUAUCCAACCUGCCGAUGACUCGGGGAUAGCCUUUCGAAAGAAAGAUUAAUACCCGAUGGCAUAGUUCUUCCGCAUGGUAGAACUAUUAGAGAAUUUCGGUCAUCGAUGGGGAUGCGUUCCAUUAGGUUGCUGGCGGGGUAACGGCCCACCAAGCCUUCGAUGGAUAGGGGUUCUGAGAGGAAGGUCCCCCACAUUGGAACUGAGACACGGUCCAAACUCCUACGGGAGGCAGCAGUGAGGAAUAUUGGUCAAUGGACGAGAGUCUGAACCAGCCAAGUAGCGUGAAGGAUGACUGCCCUAUGGGUUGUAAACUUCUUUUAUACGGGAAUAAAGUGAGGCACGUGUGCCUUUUUGUAUGUACCGUAUGAAUAAGGAUCGGCUAACUCCGUGCCAGCAGCCGCGGUAAUACGGAGGAUCCGAGCGUUAUCCGGAUUUAUUGGGUUUAAAGGGAGCGUAGGCGGACGCUUAAGUCAGUUGUGAAAGUUUGCGGCUCAACCGUAAAAUUGCAGUUGAUACUGGGUGUCUUGAGUACAGUAGAGGCAGGCGGAAUUCGUGGUGUAGCGGUGAAAUGCUUAGAUAUCACGAAGAACUCCGAUUGCGAAGGCAGCUUGCUGGACUGUGACUGACGCUGAUGCUCGAAAGUGUGGGUAUCAAACAGGAUUAGAUACCCUGGUAGUCCACACAGUAAACGAUGAAUACUCGCUGUUUGCGAUAUACAGUAAGCGGCCAAGUGAAAGCGUUAAGUAUUCCACCUGGGGAGUACGCCGGCAACGGUGAAACUCAAAGGAAUUGACGGGGGCCCGCACAAGCGGAGGAACAUGUGGUUUAAUUCGAUGAUACGCGAGGAACCUUACCCGGGCUUGAAUUGCAACUGAAUGAUGUGGAGACAUGUCAGCCGCAAGGCAGUUGUGAAGGUGCUGCAUGGUUGUCGUCAGCUCGUGCCGUGAGGUGUCGGCUUAAGUGCCAUAACGAGCGCAACCCUUAUCGAUAGUUACCAUCAGGUUAUGCUGGGGACUCUGUCGAGACUGCCGUCGUAAGAUGUGAGGAAGGUGGGGAUGACGUCAAAUCAGCACGGCCCUUACGUCCGGGGCUACACACGUGUUACAAUGGGGGGUACAGAAGGCAGCUACACGGCGACGUGAUGCUAAUCCCUAAAGCCUCUCUCAGUUCGGAUUGGAGUCUGCAACCCGACUCCAUGAAGCUGGAUUCGCUAGUAAUCGCGCAUCAGCCACGGCGCGGUGAAUACGUUCCCGGGCCUUGUACACACCGCCCGUCAAGCCAUGAAAGCCGGGGGUACCUGAAGUGCGUAACCGCAAGGAGCGCCCUAGGGUA